AGCAUAUCAAUAAGCGGAGGAAAAGAAACCAACAGGGAUUGCCUUAGUAGCGGCGAGUGAAGCGGCAAAAGCUCAAAUUUGAAAUCUGGCGGCCUCGUCGUCCGAGUUGUAAUUUGAAGAAGGUAUCUUUGGGUCUGGCGCUUGUCUAUGUUCCUUGGAACAGGACGUCACAGAGGGUGAGAAUCCCGUGCGAUGAGCAGUCCAGAUCCGUGUAAAGUUCCUUCGAAGAGUCGAGUUGUUUGGGAAUGCAGCUCUAAGUGGGUGGUAAAUUCCAUCUAAAGCUAAAUAUUGGCGAGAGACCGAUAGCGAACAAGUACAGUGAUGGAAAGAUGAAAAGAACUUUGAAAAGAGAGUGAAAAAGUACGUGAAAUUGUUGAAAGGGAAGGGCUUGCGAUCAGACUUGGUAUUUUGUAUGUCUUGCUUUCGGGCGGGGCCUCUGCAGUUUACUGGGCCAGCAUCGGUUCGGGUGGCAGGACAAUUGCGGAGAAAUGUGGCACGGC
rnacentral:rRNA from 1 species